AGACAUGGUGAGACUCUGUCUCAAAAAUAAAAUUGAAAUGAUACACAGAUUAGCAUGACCCUUGCACAAAGAUGACAAAUUUGUGAAAUUUAAGUGUUCCAUAUAUUU